UACGAAGGGGGCUAGCGUUGCUCGGAAUCACUGGGCGUAAAGCGCACGUAGGCGGAUCGUUAAGUCAGAGGUGAAAUCCUGGAGCUCAACUCCAGAACUGCCUUUGAUACUGAGAGUCCUGAGUAUGACAGAGGUGAGUGGAACUGCGAGUGUAGAGGUGAAAUUCGUAGAUAUUCGCAAGAACACCAGUGGCGAAGGCGGCUCACUGGGUCAUUACUGACGCUGAGGCACGAAAGCGUGGGGAGCAAACAGG
rnacentral:rRNA from 1 species